AGGUCCCUCCCUCGGUGACACACUGCAGCCCUGCUUCCAUGAGGGGCUCUUGGGUGCAGGCCUUUUUCACAUCUGAGCCUUGCUUCCAUGGGUUCCAGGGACUGACAGUGGCCCUCUGCAUUCCAUGGGGCCCAGCUAGAUCACAGCAGAGCCUGGCUUUCAUCAGGUUCUGAUACCUGUUCUGCCAGCUGACUGGGGUGAUUUAAAGAACACAGAAACCAAUGGGAAGAAUGGUCUUAUUUACUGGGAGUGUUAAGGCAACACAAAAGUUAAAUUAUGCAUUCAAUAAAACUACAUGCUUGGAUUUAGCAACAAGCAAAAAGAAGCAAGAGUCUGCAGUUGCUGAAAGGUCCCAUUUCACAGCAAGGACCUGGAGAACUCUUCCAAGAGAUUGGGAAAAUCCCAUGUGGUGCAUCCACCCAUAGGUAACUACACAAGAUUAUGUGGAAGUCUCCACAGCAGCUGGUUUGGUUUUAAACAGCAGCAGAAUCAUAUGGGUCAUCUCUUUUUAGCUCAAUAAAACUGAUGGU